CCUACGGGAGGCUGCAGUGGGGAAUAUUGGACAAUGGGGGGAACCCUGAUCCAGCGACGCCGCGUGAGUGAAGAAGGAUUUCGGUAUGUAAAGCUCUAUCAGCAGGGAAGCAAGAAAUGACGGUACCUGACUAAGAAGCCCCGGCUAACUACGUGCCAGCAGCCGCGGUAAUACGGAGGGGGCAAGCGGUAUCCGGAUUUACUGGGUUUAAAGGGAGCGUAGACGGCGAUGCAAGUCUGAAGUGAAAGGCGGGGGCCGAACCCCCGGACUGCUUUGGAAACUGUAUUGCUUGAGUGCAGGAGAGGUAAGUGGAAUGCCUAGUGUAGCGGUGAAAGGCGUAGAUAUUAGGAGGAACACCAGUGGCGAAGGCGGCUUACUGGACUGUAACUGACGUUGAGGCUCGAAAGCGUGGGGAGCAAACAGGAUUAGAUACCCUUGUAGUC
rnacentral:rRNA from 1 species